rnacentral:lncRNA from 1 species
CUUUAACAUAUGUUCCCACAUAGCCAAAUGAUUCAACUCAGUACAGUUAACAACUUAGAAAGGGAUUCAUUGAAUUUUCCAGGUCUCUUCAUGGCCAGAGUUGCUUUGUAAGGAGACCCUAAAUGUGGAAUAAUCAACAUGUUAAAGUAAUCUAGAUGUUUAUGAUUUGAUAACUCUUUAGUGCAUUGUUUAACAACAUGUUUUCAAUUUACUUUCCUUCAAAUAGCUCCAAAUAACCCCGUGAUUUUGGAUGAUUGAUUAUGGGAAUGCUGCUUUCACUGUACAUCCAAGCUCUCCUGGCCUCAGCGGAUAAGUAUAUGAGAGCACAGUUUUCCUGGUGUCAGGAUAUGAAGAUCCAGGGAACAAAGAACCUCAAAGAACAACACCUGGAUUGUCAAGGUUUGGCCAGCAGUGCACUUUCUCCAACCUUACAGUCAUACGCAAGACAUUCCUUCUCCCUUUGAAGAAAUCCACAAAAGAAAAAGCAAAAUACUGACAAGUUUUCAAAGCCAUGAUUUACAGGAAUGAAUUCUGAAAAGCAAGUGGCUAACAUCCGAGUUCAUCAUCAAAUAAUAUUUCUAAAGCACCCUCUAGUGUCUGGCCCCAAGCCAGAUGAUUCAACGCCUGGAGAAGCUACAGACUUUUUAAAAGUAAAAUAGACUCAUGUCUGCUCAUGAGAAGCAAGUCAGCGUCAUUUAGGAUGCCUUAGGAAUGUCUCUCUAAAUAAGGAUUAAAAAUGGAUUGCUGUAGAAAAAGUAAUACAAGUACAAACACUAAUAAUAUUGAAUGCAAUUUAAAUUCCAUUUUAAAAUAGAUAAUAGGGUUUAAAAUAACAUGUUGAAAAUUACACUGGAAUUAGCAAAAUUUAAAAUCUUAGGAAGAAAAAUCCUAAUUUGUAUGUGAAAAUGUUUUGAACUGAGGAAAAUUAAGACUAGCAAGAGUAGAUAGGGGUUGUCUAGUAGGAAUGUUAGACCCAUCAGCCAUCUGAUUAUGCUGCGACUGAUACUAGCGUGUAGUUUUCACCCAGUAAAUUAUCAAGUGGUGCAGUAGAAAAAGCAUGGUAUGUAGAAUCAUAAGACUCAUAGUCUGGGGUCACCUCUACUACUCACUUGGCCAUGUGGUUUGGAACACAUCACAAAAGAUUUAUGAGCCUUCGCUUCUUCACAUCUAAAAUCGUGAUUAUUUUGCCAACUCCAUGGAAUUGUUUAGACUUUAGAGGAUUACAUAGGAUACAAUGGACUAGUUCCUUGAACAAGUACUUGCCCCCAAAAUGUUACCAUUUUUUCUGGUUGUGUGACUGAUUUUGCAAUCAGCAAUUUAAUAAUAAUGCAUUCAACAGGUUUAUAAUAUGCAUUCAAUGUGACUCUUGCAUAUAUCUCAUAAAAACAAAUUUGAAUAUUUUUCUCAUUUUAUCACUCACAUAUCUUUGAGAAUGGGAUCAUAGUUUUAUUUUGAUAAUGAAGUAAUAGAGUCAAUUCCUGAACAGGCUAGUUGACUUUAAUGAGAAAUACCCAUUUAUUCACUCAUUCAUUUCAUUUUCAACUCUUAAAUCCAUAAUGGCCCCUUCACUAACUGCACUAACUGGGGUUCUUAUAUUAAUAAGAUGGACCAGAUGCUUCUAUCACCUCCAAAAAAUCUUUGUAGGCAGAGCAAUAAAGAGUACUGAAUCAUUUUAAGAAGUCGCAUAGACAAUGACUUUUGACCAUGGAAGGACUGGGCUUGAUCAAGCAAAUUCUAUUUCAAAGUUUUACUUGCAAGGUUAUUUAUUACUGUGUGGAAUCUCACUCCUGUGGCUGGGGUCAAGAAAAAUGGGGACACAGGUGUCUGCCUAUUUGCACAGGCAUUAAAAAGUGUUGUAAAAUGAGCUUCAGCCUUUUAAGUUACUGUCUUCUUCUUUAUAAUAAUAAUCUUUUCCAUUUUACAAGGUCUAUAUUAUUUUUAGGUAAGAAAACACUGUAGAGUUCAUGUUUUAUUGUUCCUUGCAGUUAUAUAAAUUAUAUUUGGCCAAAACAAAUGUAAUUCCUACUGUGUGAACUGGGAACCCAAAAUGUUGAUUUUCCUCAAGUUAUAAACAAUGUGAAGAUAUGUUAUACUGGGUCACAAUUUUCCAGAGCAGAGCAAAAUAUAUAACUCAGUUUUAAUAACAAAACUGCAUAUAUCAUUAAAGUUUCCUACUCCACACAGAAUGUAUUAUAUUACUCUGCCCAGCAAGAGACAUCCUUUGUGUAGACCACAAUUUCUAAAAUACCAUUUGAUUGAAUAGAAAACAGGUUAGCCAUUUGUUAGUUUAAA